rnacentral:rRNA from 1 species
GGUUAAGCGACUAAGCGUACACGGUGGAUGCCCUGGCAGUCAGAGGCGAUGAAGGACGUGCUAAUCUGCGAUAAGCGUCGGUAAGGUGAUAUGAACCGUUAUAACCGGCGAUUUCCGAAUGGGGAAACCCAGUGUGUUUCGACACACUAUCAUUAACUGAAUCCAUAGGUUAAUGAGGCGAACCGGGGGAACUGAAACAUCUAAGUACCCCGAGGAAAAGAAAUCAACCGAGAUUCCCCCAGUAGCGGCGAGCGAACGGGGAGCAGCCCAGAGCCUGAAUCAGUGUGUGUGUUAGUGGAAGCGUCUGGAAAGGCGCGCGAUACAGGGUGACAGCCCCGUACACAAAAAUGCACAUGCUGUGAGCUCGAUGAGUAGGGCGGGACACGUGGUAUCCUGUCUGAAUAUGGGGGGACCAUCCUCCAAGGCUAAAUACUCCUGACUGACCGAUAGUGAACCAGUACCGUGAGGGAAAGGCGAAAAGAACCCCGGCGAGGGGAGUGAAAAAGAACCUGAAACCGUGUACGUACAAGCAGUGGGAGCACGCUUAGGCGUGUGACUGCGUACCUUUUGUAUAAUGGGUCAGCGACUUAUAUUCUGUAGCAAGGUUAACCGAAUAGGGGAGCCGAAGGGAAACCGAGUCUUAACUGGGCGUUAAGUUGCAGGGUAUAGACCCGAAACCCGGUGAUCUAGCCAUGGGCAGGUUGAAGGUUGGGUAACACUAACUGGAGGACCGAACCGACUAAUGUUGAAAAAUUAGCGGAUGACUUGUGGCUGGGGGUGAAAGGCCAAUCAAACCGGGAGAUAGCUGGUUCUCCCCGAAAGCUAUUUAGGUAGCGCCUCGUGAAUUCAUCUCCGGGGGUAGAGCACUGUUUCGGCAAGGGGGUCAUCCCGACUUACCAACCCGAUGCAAACUGCGAAUACCGGAGAAUGUUAUCACGGGAGACACACGGCGGGUGCUAACGUCCGUCGUGAAGAGGGAAACAACCCAGACCGCCAGCUAAGGUCCCAAAGUCAUGGUUAAGUGGGAAACGAUGUGGGAAGGCCCAGACAGCCAGGAUGUUGGCUUAGAAGCAGCCAUCAUUUAAAGAAAGCGUAAUAGCUCACUGGUCGAGUCGGCCUGCGCGGAAGAUGUAACGGGGCUAAACCAUGCACCGAAGCUGCGGCAGCGACGCUUAUGCGUUGUUGGGUAGGGGAGCGUUCUGUAAGCCUGUGAAGGUGUACUGUGAGGUAUGCUGGAGGUAUCAGAAGUGCGAAUGCUGACAUAAGUAACGAUAAAGCGGGUGAAAAGCCCGCUCGCCGGAAGACCAAGGGUUCCUGUCCAACGUUAAUCGGGGCAGGGUGAGUCGACCCCUAAGGCGAGGCCGAAAGGCGUAGUCGAUGGGAAACAGGUUAAUAUUCCUGUACUUGGUGUUACUGCGAAGGGGGGACGGAGAAGGCUAUGUUGGCCGGGCGACGGUUGUCCCGGUUUAAGCGUGUAGGCUGGUUUUCCAGGCAAAUCCGGAAAAUCAAGGCUGAGGCGUGAUGACGAGGCACUACGGUGCUGAAGCAACAAAUGCCCUGCUUCCAGGAAAAGCCUCUAAGCAUCAGGUAACAUCAAAUCGUACCCCAAACCGACACAGGUGGUCAGGUAGAGAAUACCAAGGCGCUUGAGAGAACUCGGGUGAAGGAACUAGGCAAAAUGGUGCCGUAACUUCGGGAGAAGGCACGCUGAUAUGUAGGUGAAGUCCCUCGCGGAUGGAGCUGAAAUCAGUCGAAGAUACCAGCUGGCUGCAACUGUUUAUUAAAAACACAGCACUGUGCAAACACGAAAGUGGACGUAUACGGUGUGACGCCUGCCCGGUGCCGGAAGGUUAAUUGAUGGGGUCAGCGCAAGCGAAGCUCUUGAUCGAAGCCCCGGUAAACGGCGGCCGUAACUAUAACGGUCCUAAGGUAGCGAAAUUCCUUGUCGGGUAAGUUCCGACCUGCACGAAUGGCGUAAUGAUGGCCAGGCUGUCUCCACCCGAGACUCAGUGAAAUUGAACUCGCUGUGAAGAUGCAGUGUACCCGCGGCAAGACGGAAAGACCCCGUGAACCUUUACUAUAGCUUGACACUGAACAUUGAGCCUUGAUGUGUAGGAUAGGUGGGAGGCUUUGAAGUGUGGACGCCAGUCUGCAUGGAGCCGACCUUGAAAUACCACCCUUUAAUGUUUGAUGUUCUAACGUNAUCCGGGUUGCGGACAGUGUCUGGUGGGUAGUUUGACUGGGGCGGUCUCCUCCUAAAGAGUAACGGAGGAGCACGAAGGUUGGCUAAUCCUGGUCGGACAUCAGGAGGUUAGUGCAAUGGCAUAAGCCAGCUUGACUGCGAGCGUGACGGCGCGAGCAGGUGCGAAAGCAGGUCAUAGUGAUCCGGUGGUUCUGAAUGGAAGGGCCAUCGCUCAACGGAUAAAAGGUACUCCGGGGAUAACAGGCUGAUACCGCCCAAGAGUUCAUAUCGACGGCGGUGUUUGGCACCUCGAUGUCGGCUCAUCACAUCCUGGGGCUGAAGUAGGUCCCAAGGGUAUGGCUGUUCGCCAUUUAAAGUGGUACGCGAGCUGGGUUUAGAACGUCGUGAGACAGUUCGGUCCCUAUCUGCCGUGGGCGCUGGAGAACUGAGGGGGGCUGCUCCUAGUACGAGAGGACCGGAGUGGACGCAUCACUGGUGUUCGGGUUGUCAUGCCAAUGGCACUGCCCGGUAGCUAAAUGCGGAAGAGAUAAGUGCUGAAAGCAUCUAAGCACGAAACUUGCCCCGAGAUGAGUUCUCCCUGACUCCUUGAGAGUCCUGAAGGAACGUUGAAGACGACGACGUUGAUAGGCCGGGUGUGUAAGCGCAGCGAUGCGUUGAGCUAACCGGUACUAAUGAACCGUGAGGCUUAACCUU